AACGCGGUGGCCUAAUGGUUAGCGCGUUGGACCCCAGACCGAGCUGUCCAGGUUCGAGCCCUGGCCGGGGUCA